UACGUAGGGAGCAAGCGUUGUCCGGAAUCAUUGGGCGUAAAGAGCGUGUAGGCGGCCAGAUAGGUCUGCUGUGAAAACUCGAGGCUCAACCUCGAGAUGUCGGCGGAAACCGUUUGGCUAGAGUCCGGAAGAGGAAAGUGGAAUUCCUGGUGUAGCGGUGAAAUGCGCAGAUAUCAGGAAGAACACCCGUGGCGAAGGCGGCUUUCUGGGACGGUACUGACGCUGAGACGCGAAAGCGUGGGGAGCGAACAGG
rnacentral:rRNA from 1 species